rnacentral:rRNA from 1 species
UACGAAGGAGGCUAGCGUUGCUCGGAAUCACUGGGCGUAAAGCGCACGUAGGCGGAUCUUUAAGUCAGGGGUGAAAUCCCAAGGCUCAACCUUGGAACUGCCUUUGAUACUGGGGAUCUCGAGUCCGGAAGAGGUUGGUGGAACUGCGAGUGUAGAGGUGAAAUUCGUAGAUAUUCGCAAGAACACCAGUGGCGAAGGCGGCCAACUGGUCCGGUACUGACGCUGAGGUGCGAAAGCGAUGGGGAGCAAACGGGGAUUAAGAA